rnacentral:rRNA from 1 species
UACGGGGGGUGCAAGCGUUAAUCGGAAUUACUGGGCGUAAAGCGCGCGUAGGCGGUUUGCUCAGUCGGAUGUGAAAGCCCAGGGCUCAACCUUGGAACUGCAUACGAUACUGGCAAACUAGAGUGUGAGAGAGGAUAGUGGAAUUUCCGGUGUAGCGGUGAAAUGCGUAGAUAUCUGAAGGAACAUCAGUGGCGAAGGCGACUGUCUGGCUCAACACUGACGCUGAGGUGCGAAAGCGUGGGUAGCAAACAGGAUUAGAAACCCUAGUAGUCC